rnacentral:rRNA from 1 species
GAACUUAAGCAUAUCAGUAAGCGGAGGAAAAGAAACUAACAAGGAUUCCCCUAGUAACGGCGAGUGAAGCGGGAAAAGCUCAAUUUUGAAAUCUCCUUCGGGCGAAUUGUAGUUUAGAGAAGCGCUUUCGGGGAUGAAGCCGGCCCAAGUCGUCUGGAACGACGCGCCAGAGAGGGUGAGAGCCCCGUUCGGCCGGUCGAGUCCCUAUGUGAUGUGUCUUCCAAGAGUCGGAUAGCUUGGGAAUGCUGUCCAAAACGGGUGGUAAAUACCAUCUAAAGCUAAAUACGGGCGAGAGACCGAUAGCGAACAAGUACCGUGAGGGAAAGAUGAAAAGAACUUUGAAAAGAGAGUUAAAAGUACGUGAAAUUGUGUAAAGGGAAACGCUUGAUACCAGUAUUGGCGUGCGCAGAUCAGCCGUUCAUUAGGGCGGUGCACUCUGUGUACGCCGGGUCAGCAUCGGUUCGACGUGGGGUACAAAGCCGCGGGAAGGUGACCCUCUGGGUGUUAUAGCCCGCGGUCAUGCCCCGUGUUGGACCGAGGACCGCAGUCGCGCUUUUGGGGAACCGUUCGCCUUGCGCCGAAGCUAACCGACAACUUGUUGACGUUUGGUGUACAGCGUACGCACGGGCGGCUACCACAACACGGCUUAGGAUGCUGACGAAAUGGUCUCAAACGACCCGUCUUGAAACACGGACCAAGGAGUCCAACACAUGUGCGAGUCUUUGGGUGGCAAACCCGAGGGCGCAAUGAAAGUGAAAGGGAACGAGCUUCGGCGCAGUUCCGACCGGUCUGGAUUUUUUUGAUGGAUCUGAGUGAGAGCACAUGUGCUGGGACCCGAAA